UGCACCAGCCUCAAGGUGCAGCUUGGAAAGGCCUCGCAGGCAAUCAAUGUAGGCAGCGAUACCCUCGCCUCCUACUUGGACUUGGUUCUUCGCGUCUGUGAGGGCACUCGCGUGGUCAUGUGCAGCAACUUUACAGAGAGCAACGUCACGGAUGCGGCCUGGAAGACGGCAUUCGCUGGGGCAAACACGGAAUUGGUAACAUUCUUCCUCAGCUUGAUCAGCGGGCCCACUUGCCUGCCCGAGCUGGACGGAUAUACAAUCCGGACACGCGCCAACUCCGAGAAAUGCGUGUUAUUCGACGAGGAGCGGAGUAUUCCUUGCGUUCCACCGCCUGGCGUUAAUUGCUCGUGAGUCGAAUGGGCCCGAUCGCUUCCAACAGCACGAUGCUGAUGGUGAUGAUAGUGGUGAUGCUCGGGUUGGGGGGUCGAGCAUCUCAUGGUUAUUUGCGUUCUUUGCCUUUGAGCCGAAUCUUGAAUCGAUGCUGGGUGGCUGGGAGGUAGGUAGGUAGGUAGGUAGGUAGGCUUUGC
rnacentral:lncRNA from 1 species